AUUGAACGCUGGCGGCAUGCUUUACACAUGCAAGUCGAACGGUAACAGGCCGCAAGGUGCUGACGAGUGGCGAACGGGUGAGUAAUGCAUCGGAACGUGCCCAGUCGUGUGGGAUCACGCAGCGAAAGCUGCGCCACUACCGCAUACGAUCUAUGGAUGCAAGCGGGGGCACGUAAGGCCUCGCGCGAUGGGAGCGGACGAUGUCAGAUUAGGUAGUUGGUGGGGCAAGGGCUCACCAAGCCAACGAUCUGUAGCUGGUCUGAAAGGCCGACCAGCCACACUGGGACUGAGACACGGCCCAGCCUCCUACGGGAGGCAGCAGUGGUGAAUUUUGGACAAUGGGCGCAAGCCUAAUCCAGCAAUGCCGCGUGCAGGAAGAAGGCCUUCGGGUUGUAAACUGCUUUUGUACGGAACGAAACGGUCCUGGUUAAUACCCGGGGCUAAUGACGGUACCGUAAGAAUAAGCACCGGCUAACUACGUGCCAGCAGCCGCCGUAACAC
rnacentral:rRNA from 1 species